GAAUGGUCAAGCGAAGAAGGGCGCAGGGCGAAUGCCUUGGCACUGGGAGCCGAAGAAAGACGUGAUAAGCUGCGAUAAGCUGCGGGGAGCUGCAAAUAAGCAUUGAUCCGCGGAUUUCUG
rnacentral:rRNA from 1 species